CCUACGGGAGGCAGCAGUGGGGAAUAUUGCGCAAUGGGCGAAAGCCUGACGCAGCGACGCCGCGUGAGGGAUGAAGGUCUUCGGAUCGUAAACCUCUGUCAGCAGGGAAGAACGGUCACUGUGCUAAUCAGCCGUGAAUUGACGGUACCUGCAAAGGAAGCACCGGCUAACUCCGUGCCAGCAGCCGCGGUAAUACUGAGGGUGCGAGCGUUAAUCGGAAUUACUGGGCGUAAAGCGCUCGUAGGCGGUAUGUCAAGUCAAGGGUGAAAUCCCCGCGCUCAACGUGGGAACUGCCUUUGAAACUGGCAAACUGGAGUGUAGGAGAGGAUAGUGGAAUUCCAGGGGUAGGAGUGAAAUCCGUAGAUAUCUGGAGGAACAUCAGUGGCGAAGGCGACUAUCUGGCACAUAACUGACGCUGAGGAGCGAAAGCGUGGGUAGCAAACAGGAUUAGAUACCCCUGUAGUC
rnacentral:rRNA from 1 species